rnacentral:rRNA from 1 species
CCUACGGGUGGCAGCAGUGAGGAAUAUUGGUCAAUGGCCGGAAGGCUGAACCAGCCAAGUCGCGUGAGGGAAGACUGCCCUAUGGGUUGUAAACCUCUUUUAUACGGGGAGAAUAAAUUCCACGUGUGGAAGUAUGCAUGUACCUCAUGAAUAAGCACCGGCUAACUCCGUGCCAGCAGCCGCGGUAAUACGGAGGGUGCGGGCGUUAUCCGGAUUUAUUGGGUUUAAAGGGUGCGUAGGCGGUUUUUUAAGUUUGUGGUUAAACUUUGGGGCUACACCUUGAUUUGCGAUUAAAACUGUAAGCCUUGAGUGCAGACGAGGCAGGCGGAAUUAGUUGAGUAGCGGUGAAAUGCUUAGAUAUAACGAAGAACCCCGAUAGCGAAGGCAGCUUGCCGGAGUGCUACUGACGCUGAAGCACGAGAGCGUGGGUAGCGAACAGGAUUAGAUACCCGAGUAGUC